UCAAAAUGCUGAUUGCAUGGAAAACAGAGAGGCCUUCUUUGUGCUGUCAACUAAAAUACCCACACUCCAUCCUACUGACAGGCAGAACAUUUCCCACCAACGUGGUAGCCCAGGGCACUGAUAAUUCUCAAUGACAAGUAGAGAGAAGACAAAUCAUCAGAGAAACUGAAGGAGGAGCUGCUCCUGACUCAUACUUUUCAGAGUUCUGCCACAGAGGGAGAGGAGUCACCUGCCUUGUCUGGGGAUCAGCAAAUCUGGAUUCUAUUUAUACAUUCCCUUUAACCUGUCUGCUCUCAGUUCUGUCUUCAUCCCAGAUUUAGAAAGAUCAGAUAUCUCCAGUGUUUCAGCCUUCCAAAUGCAAGCUGCUAAUUUGCUCUUCACAUUUACCUAUUUUUUUUUCUUCAGGGUUAAACUUUUUCAAGUCUGGAAAACUCAGUUAUCACGAGUCCACUGCCUUUGCUGAUUCCAGGUCUCUUGCAAUAUUCUUCAUUCCCAACCUGCUAGUUUCAUGAUCUAAUCCAUGUUUAAUAGUACAGUAGAAGAAAAUGAAGGUGACUGUCUAGCACACACAAUCUCAGCAUUCAAGGAAGAAGCACGUAGACCUCUGUGAGUUCAAGGUUAGCCUGGUCUACAUAGCAAACAAACAAAUAAAAUAAUACACAUAUGUAUAGAAGUACGCAUACACACACAAAUGGAUGAACUCUAGUAAGAUGGCUUGGUGGUUAAGAGCAUUCUUAAGUAAUAUUCUUAGCAUAUUUGGUUCUGUCCUAUGUGUUAUACCAAAUAAACACAAGGAAACCCUGGGUAAGUGUAGUGUAUGGGUAAGGCUAAGAGUAAUGGUAAAGGAAAGGGUAAGAGAAAGUAAGGGUUAGGAUGGGGUAAAUCUAACUGUUACAGACAUUUCCCCUGAAACUGUUUUCAUGAGUCAUCUGCCUUUAGUUAUCUCUACAAUGGAAGUAGACUUCUUGCUGUUCUUGCAGAAGGCCAAUGAUGGAUUCCCAGUACCCACAUGGUUGCUCAUAAUUAUCUAAAACUCCAGUUUCAGGAGAUCUGGCACAGCCUUUGAGCUGCUAUGAGAACCAGGCACAUACAUAGUACACAAACAUAAAUGCAGAUUAAUACUCAUACAUAUAAAAUAAAAACAAAUCAAUGUUUUUUAAAUAAAAAUACCAUCCUUAAUGGGAAUGUAAAUUUUCACAAGGCUGGUUGGGUUCCAUAACAAUCACUAGGGAAUUUUAUCUGGGUAUCAGGAAUUUAAUUCUAAAAUAACAGUGGCAAAUUCGCCUAUAGCUAGAGCUUAGUCAUAGAUUUGUUGUGUCUAAGCAAACAACUUUUCAAUGCCAUAGGAAUAAAUGAUUAAUAUUAAUUACUUAUUUAAUGGCCAAAACACCUUUUAAAUACACACAUCUACACAUAGCCCAAUAUAACCUCCAAUGUGAUGGUUAUCAACAAGCAGAGUCAAUGUGAGCUGAAUACAUCUCCAGGGUGAAGCUCCCUUCUAAAGAGGCCUGAGAACCUUUCAGCCCUUACUCUUCUGUUGUGAGGACACCUACAGUACCAUCCAGGAAGAUUGGUCCUCACCAGACACCAGAUCGUCCUUAGGCUUCAUCCUCCACACCUAUGAGAUACCUAUGUUGUUUGCGAAUUUCCUAGCCUAGAGUUGAAAUAGCUCAAAU
rnacentral:lncRNA from 1 species